rnacentral:sRNA from 1 species
AUAGGGGAAUGUACCAUAUGA